CCGCGAAUUCGCCCUUCGGGGUGCAGCAGGCGCGAAAACUCUACAAUGCAGGCAACUGCGAUAGGGGAACAUCGAGUGAUCCUCAUAUUGGGGGUCUGUCCACCCGUCUAAAAAACGGGUGUUAGCAAGGGCCGGGCAAGACCGGUGCCAGCCGCCGCGGUAAUACCGGCGGCUCGAGUGGUGGCCGAUAUUAUUGAGUCUAAAGGGUCCGUAGCCGGCUUUGCAAGUCUCUCGGGAAACCCAGCGGCUUAACCGUUGGUCGUCCGGGGGGUACUACAUUGCUUGGGACUGGGAGAGGUAGGAGGUACUCAGGGGGUAGGAGUGAAAUCCUGUAAUCCUUUGGGGACCACCGGUGGCGAAGGCGUCCUACCAGAACAGGUCCGACGGUGAGGGACGAAAGCUAGGGGCACGAACCGGAUUAGAUACCCGGGUAGUCCUAGCCGUAAACGAUGCUCGCUAGGUGUCACAACAGUCGUGAACUGUUGUGGUGCCGUAGGGAAGCCGUGAAGCGAGCCACUUGGGAAGUACGACCGCAAGGUUGAAACUUAAAGGAAUUGGCGGGGAGCAC
rnacentral:rRNA from 1 species